rnacentral:misc_RNA from 1 species
AACGCACAUUGCGACCCCUGGUAUUCCGGGGGACAUGCCUGUCCGAGCGUCAUUUCUGCCCUCAAGCACGGCUUGUGUGUUGGGCCCCUUCCUCCGAUCCCGGGGGACUGGCCCGAAAGGCAGCGGCGGCACCGCGUCCGGUCCUCGAGCGAAUGGGGCUUUGUCACCCGCUCUGUAGUCCCGGUCGGCGCUUGCCGAUCACCCCAAAUUUUUAUCCAGGUUGACCUCGGAUCAGGUAGGGAUACCCGCUGAACUUA